GCGCCCGUAGCGCAAUUGGAUAGAGUAUCUGGCUUCGAACCAGAGGGCUGGGGGUUCAAAUCCCUCCGGGCGCACCA
rnacentral:tRNA from 3 species